GAAUCACACUGGCGUGUUUCCUCCGCCUUUCCUGAAGCGAUACUCUUACAAUGACAGAGAUCGUGAAGAACGGGAGGCAGAGAUGAAAAUGAUUUUCAACACCAGUCCUCAGCCCUCGAUUCCCGAAGUUUCCUACAAAGACGUCAUGAAAAGGGAAUCAGGACUCUACGAGUGGUUGAAAAUCCUCAACGAACUUGGCAUUUGUCUGGUGAAAGACGUUCCUACUCGAGCCCUCGAGGUAAAGAAGGU